UACGGAGGGGGCUAGCGUUGUUCGGAAUUACUGGGCGUAAAGCGCACGUAGGCGGCUUUACAAGUCAGGGGUGAAAGCCCGCGGCUCAACCGCGGAAUUGCCUUUGAGACUGUAUCGCUUGAACACGGGAGAGGUGAGUGGAAUUCCGAGUGUAGAGGUGAAAUUCGUAGAUAUUCGGAAGAACACCAGUGGCGAAGGCGGCUCACUGGACCGUAGUUGACGCUGAGGUGCGAAAGCGUGGGGAGCAAACAGGAUUAGAUACCCCUGUAGUCC
rnacentral:rRNA from 1 species